rnacentral:rRNA from 1 species
CCUACGGGAGGCAGCAGUAGGGAAUAUUGGGCAAUGGAUGCAAGUCUGACCCAGCCAUGCCGCGUGCCGGAUGAAGGCCCUCAGGGUUGUAAACGGCUUUUAUUCGGGAAGAAGAGCGAGGAUGCGUCCUUGUGUGACGGUACCGAAUGAAUAAGCACCGGCUAACUCCGUACCAGCAGCCGCGGUAAUACGGAGGGUGCGAGCGUUGUCCGGAUUUAUUGGGUUUAAAGGGUGCGUAGGUGGCUGUUUAAGUCAGUGGUGAAAUACGGUUGCUCAACAAUCGAGGUGCCAUUGAUACUGAAUAGCUUGAAAUAAUUGGAGGCUGCCGGAAUGGAUGGUGUAGCGGUGAAAUGCAUAGAUAUCAUCCAGAACACCGAUUGCGAAGGCAGGUGGCUACGAUUUGUUUGACACUGAGGCACGAAAGCAUGGGGAGCAAACAGGAUUAGAUACCCUGGUAGUCCAUGCCGUAAACGAUGAGGACUCGCUGUUUGAUGGCAACAUUGAGCGGCUUAGGGAAACCGUUAAGUCCUCCACCUGGGGAGUACGCCGGCAACGGUGAAACUCAAAGGAAUUGACGG